UACGUAGGCAGCGAGCGUUGUUCGGAGUUGCUGGGCGUAAAGGGUGUGUAGGCGGUUGUUUAAGUUUGGUGUGAAAUCUCCCGGCUCAACUGGGAGGGUGCGCCGAAUACUGAAUGACUUCGAGUGCGGGAGAGGAGAGUGGAAUUCCUGGUGUAGCGGUGAAAUGCGUAGAUAUCAGGAGGAACACCGGUGGUGUAGACGGCUCUCUGGACCGUAACUGACGCUGAGACACGAAAGCGUGGGUAGCAAACAGG
rnacentral:rRNA from 1 species